rnacentral:rRNA from 1 species
UACGAAGGGGGCUAGCGUUGUUCGGAUUUACUGGGCGAAAGCGCACGUAGGCGGAUCGAUCAGUCAGGGGGUGAAAUCCCAGAGCUCAACUCUGGAACUGCCUUUGAUACUGUCGAUCUGGAGUAUGGAAGAGGUGAGUGGAAUUCCGAGUGUAGAGGUGAAAUUCGUAGUAUUCGGAGGAACACCAGUGGCGAAGGCGGCUCACUGGUCCAUUACUGA